GAUGAACGCUGGCGGCGUGCCUAAUACAUGCAAGUCGAGCGAACAGACGAGGAGCUUGCUCCUCUGACGUUAGCGGCGGACGGGUGAGUACCACGUGGAUAACCUACCUAUAAGACUGGGAUAACUUCGGGAAACCGGAGCUAAUACCGGAUAAUAUAUUGAACCGCAUGGUUCAAUAGUGAAAGACGGUUUUGCUGUCACUUAUAGAUGGAUCCGCGCCGCAUUAGCUAGUUGGUAAGGUAACGGCUUAGCAAGGCAACGAUGCGUAGCCGACCUGAGAGGCUGAUCGGCCACACUGGAACUGAGACACGGUCCAGACUCCUACGGGAGGCAGCAGUAGGGAAUCUUCCGCAAUGGGCGAAAGCCUGACGGAGCAACGCCGCGUGAGUGAUGAAGGUCUUCGGAUCGUAAAACUCUGUUAUUAGGGAAGAACAAAUGUGUAAGUAACUAUGCACGUCUUGACGGUACCGAAUCAGAAAGCCACGGCUAACUACGUG
rnacentral:rRNA from 1 species